AUGCUUCGGCAGCAUAUAUACUAAAAUGGGAACAAUAGAGAAGAUUAGCAUGGCCCCUGCACAAGGGUGACACGCAAAUUUGAGAAUAGGAGAACAACUCAUUU